rnacentral:tRNA from 1 species
UUAAUUGAAGCCAAAGAGAGGCAUUCUAUUGUUAAUAGAAAUAAUGAUAAUAUCCAAUUAAA